rnacentral:tRNA from 1 species
GUCUCUGUAGCGCAAUGGAUUACGCGUUGGACUUCUGAUCCAAAGGUCGUGGUUUCGAAUCCUACCUGGGAUG